CCUACGGGUGGCAGCAGUGAGGAAUAUUGGUCAAUGGGCGCGAGCCUGAACCAGCCAAGUAGCGUGAAGGAUGACUGCCCUACGGGUUGUAAACUUCUUUUAUAAAGGAAUAAAGUCAGGCACGUGUGGCUUUUUGGAUGUACUUUAUGAACAAGGACCGGCUAACUCCGUGCCAGCAGCCGCGGUAAUACGGAGGAUCCGAGCGUUAUCCGGAUUUAUUGGGUUUAAAGGGAGCGUAGAUGGGUUGUUAAGUCAGUUGUGAAAGUUUGCGGCUCAACCGGAAUAUUGCAAUUGAUACUGGCAGCCUUGAGUACAGUUGAGGUAGGCGGAAUUCGUGGUGUAGCGGUGAAAUGCUUAGAUAUCACGAAGAACUCCGAUUGCGAAGGCAGCCUACUAAACUGCCACUGACACUGAUGCUCGAAAGUGUGGGUAUCAAACAGGAUUAGAUACCCCAGUAGUC
rnacentral:rRNA from 1 species